CAAUCAUGAGUGACUUGUCAUUCUUCUGUGGUUCAGGCAUUUCACAAAUCUGGGAGGGAGCAUCAGCAGAAGAGGCAGAGGAGCCUUUUGUCCUCUGCCCUUCAAGAGGGCCUAGCCUUAUCCAUGGAUACCAAUAAACUCCACAAAAUACUUAGCAGUAUCAUAACCUGAUUAGAUGUUAGCAGAUCUUGCUCCUAGAAGAUGGAGCUGGUCAUCCCACGGAUGACAAGCUUUCUGUUCUUGGUCUUGGUAGUGUUGUGGAGCUUGUCAUGAGUCAUACUAGAACAUACAGACUAUCUAGUUUAGGUCAAUGAAGGGGUCAUUGAUGAAAAUAAUAUCCAAUUUGAAGGCAGCCCUGGUACCAGGCAUCCAGCAUGGCCAAAUCCGUUCACUUUGCCCUUCACCAUCAUUUCUCAGGGAUAAAUCUGGCACUGCAUGAGAAGAUGUUGCUACUUCUGGAAUAGGCAGAGAAGGAAACUGUUAUGAAGCAUACAAUAUAACACAAUUGCUUCAAAUUAUACCAUUGCAUAUAAUGAUUGGGGAUGUGGAUUUUUCUUGGAUUACUGCCCUACAUUGCUCCUCAAUUGCUGUGAUAAAACUCUGAACAAAAGCACUUGGGGAAGAACAUCUUUAUUUUACAUCUCAAUUGGACUGAGUUGAAAUGCAGGUGUUUGGGAAGACCAAGAUGAUACCAGCUGAGCUAAUUUGGAUGGAUAAGAAAUGAAUUUCCAGAGAAGAGGGACAUGAGAACAUCCAAGCUCCUUGGAAAGAACAGAUAAGGAUUUUAUAAUGGAAAGUGAGCUUUCUAACUGGAUGCCUUCCACUCCCUCAGCGGGUGGUGCUACACUUCUUAACCAUGUUUUCCCUCCAUGCCUCCAUAGAUUUUCUUUGUCUCUAUUAUGCUUGUGGUCUUAAUGAGAGUUGAGUCACAUGUCAUGUAACACAGCCACUUAAUCAGUGCUACACAGUGAUACUUAGUAAAGUUGGAGUAGAGAGGAUGUCGGUACAAUCAGUUUGAGAAGAUUUUGUCACUCAGAAGGAAACCCCAUUCUGCUUAGCAGCACUCUCAGCCUCCACACCACAGCCACUCUUGCCUGUCCUUGCAGCCAGGCCCUUCUAACUCCAGGCAAUUAGGAAUCUAUUAGUUUGUCUCUAUGAAGCUGCCUCUUGUGGAUGUUUACUGUAAAAUAAAUAUACAACAGGUAACCUUUUCCCUGCCUUAUUUCAUUCUGCAUGGUGUUUUUAAAGCUUAUCUUUGGUAUCACACUUUGUUUAGCUAUUCAAAUGUUGUUGGAAACUACUGUUUUGUAUAGACUGUAUGUCUUAGCCAGUGUUCUAUUGCUGUGAAAAAACACCAUGACCACGGCAACUCUUAUAAAGAAAAACAUUUAAUUGUCUGGCUUAUAGUUCAGAGGUUUAGUUCAUUAUCAUCAUGGCAGGAAACAUGGCAACAUGCAGGCAGACAGGGUGCUGGACAGGUAGCUGACAGUUCUACAUCUGGAUCUGCAGGCAGCAGGAAGAACAAAAGCCUCUGGGUUUAGUUUGUGCUUGAGGAAACUCAAAGCCCACUGCCAGUGACAUACCUGCUCCAACAAGGCCUCAUCCCCUGCAACAAUGCCAUACCUCCUAAUCUUUUCAAAUAGUGCCACUCCUGGAUGACAAAGUAUUCAACUCUAUGAACCUAUAGGGAUCAUUCUUGUUCAAAUAAUCACAGUGUAGACAGAACUUCUAUAAAGUUUCUGUCAAAAAAAUUUCUAUGCUUUCAUAUUUUAAAUUCUCUUGGAAUGGUUUUGUCACAUGGUGAACAUUAAUGGGACUAUCCAUUGCUCUCUCCAUGUAGCCAUUAUUUCAUAUAUAUGAGCCUGUCUAAUUAGUAACAAACUUAAUCCCUAAAAAUAGUCACAGGCCAAGAUUAAGGGCAAUUCUUACAAUGGUCUAAGUACUCUCAAAUUUAAAUCAUAAAAAUAAAUCGUGUGAUGUACAGCAAUAAUAGGAUAUUCUGCUAUACAAAGAUAACAAAUUUAAAAAGUAGAUAGAAACUCUAGAGUAUUCUGUUACUAAAAUGAAUAUCUCAAUUUAAAAAAAAAAAAAACCCUACAAAAUGAAA